rnacentral:rRNA from 1 species
AACGAACGCUGGCGGCAUGCCUAACACAUGCAAGUCGAACGACGGCUUCGUCCUUAGUGGCGCACGGGUGCGUCACGCGUGGGAAUCUGCCCUUUGGUUCGGAAUACUAGCUGGUAACGGCUGCUAAUAUCGGGUGAUUUCCGCAGAUAAAAGAUUUAUCGUCAGAGGGUGAGCCCGCGUUGGUUUGGGCGGUUGGGGGCGUAAAGGCCUACCAAGGCGUAGAUCCAUAGCGGGUCUGAGAGACUGAUCAGCCACACUGGGACUGGGACCCGGCCCGGACUCCUGCGGGAGGGAGCAGAGGGGAAUAUUGGACAAUGGGCGCAAGCCUGAUCCAGCAAUGCCUCGUGAGUGAUGAAGGCCGUAGGGAAGUAAAGCUCGUUUACCCGGGAAGAUAAUGACGGUACCGGGAGAAUAAGCCCCGGCUAACUCCGUG